rnacentral:rRNA from 1 species
GAAUAUGGGGGGACCAUCCUCCAAGGCUAAAUACUCCUGACUGACCGAUAGUGAACCAGUACCGUGAGGGAAAGGCGAAAAGAACCCCGGCGAGGGGAGUGAAAAAGAACCUGAAACCGUGUACGUACAAGCAGUGGGAGCCCCACCACUAAGCCAGUGGUGAACUCCACAUACGCAUCCUUUGCUGAGGAUACGGUUAACGGAGCGAAAGCGACGUUCAACCUCAAAAGAAGCAGAGGGGGCUUAGUGGUGGGGUGACUGCGUACCUUUUGUAUAAUGGGUCAGCGACUUAUAUUCUGUAGCAAGGUUAACCGWAUAGGGGAGCCGGAGGGAAACCGAGUCUUAACCGGGCGUUAAGUUGCAGGGUAUAGACCCGAAACCCGGUGAUCUAGCCAUGGGCAGGUUGAAGGUUGGGUAACACUAACUGGAGGACCGAACCGACUAAUGUUGAAAAAUUAGCGGAUGACCUGUGGCUGGGGGUGAAAGGCCAAUCAAAC